rnacentral:lncRNA from 1 species
AAGCUUCAUCGCUGUAUAGCUCUAUCUUGGCUCCAUUUCUGUAAUGGAUACUUCAUUCACAGACAAUGGAAUUGACUUGCUUGUAGAUUGAUCUGACUCUAACCCUUUAAUCGGUAGCAUCUCUGACCGACUACGAAAAAAGAAUGCAGGUUGCUGAGGCGCUCGCUUGGUAAUAGAGUAACUAUUAAGCAUGAGCACCACGGAUUCCAUUGUAGGUCUUUCAUUAACGUCUUCUUGAACACAUAACAAUCCGAUAUGUAUACAUUGCAUCACUUCAUUUCUCGAGUAUGAUUCCGCAAAUGUUGGAUCUAUUAUGUUCAAUGGUGUUCCGUCCCUCCAAUUCUUCCAUACCUACAAGAUUUAUCCAUCAAAUCGGCCAAAAUUAGGAUCAGUAAGAAUUUAUCUAGUAAGUCGUGGAAUUUGUCACGGUUCUGAUACCAGGUUGAAGUUUUCAGACCAAUAUAUUCUAGCGAACAUUGCAUAGCCUUAUAUAGUAUGUAAACUUACAUAGCUAAGAAGAUCUUCAGCACCAUCUGAUUGGUAAAAUGCACUAUUCUUUUUUCCACUUAUGAUCUCCAAAAGUAGAACGCCAAAGCUGAAAACGUCAGAUCUAACAGAGUAUUGUCCGUGCAUAGCAUACUCCGGUGACAUGUAACCGCUAUAGAACAACAAGAAGCAGGACGGUUAGCUAGAAAAAAAAGCGUAUUCUUAAGGGGAUAUAUAUGUUAACAUCGUUUUAAAACUUACUAUGUUCCAACGAUCCUGCUUGUUAUUUCUUCACUUUGAUCGAUUCCAAAAUAUCUUGCCAUUCCAAAAUCGGAUAUUUUGGGGUUCAUUUCUGCAUCUAACAAUAUAUUGCUUGCUUUGAGAUCGCGGUGUAUAAUUCUUAAACGAGAAUCCUCAUGAAGGUAAAGUAGUCCACGCGCAAUCCCUCCUAUAAUCUUGCAACGUCUCGACCAAUCUAGUAGAUUCUGCUUUUCAUGAUCUAAAAAUUUAUCAGAAACAAAGUUUAUGUAAAAUGCAUCUCUUGUUAAAUAUAGGCAAAAAUAAUUAAAAAAGAAGUAUUCUAAUGUACAAAGCUCCAACUAUGUACGCAGUUCGAGGAAGGACCGGACCAUAUUGGGUCUAAGUACCCGUCUUACCUUGUAUUUCUGCAAGAGGUUGUUUCUGCAUAGGCAAUUAUAGCAACAAGAAGAAUAUAUAAAAUGCAUGUUAUAAGAUAACCAACCGAAUAAGAAAUAGUCGAGGCUCUUGUUUGGGACAAAUUCAUAGACGAGUAUCUUUUCAUCUCCUUCCAAACAGUAUCCCAAUAGUCUCACUAAAUUUCUGUGUUGAAGCUUCGCGAUCAAUACAAUCUCAUUCUUAAAUUCUUCUACCCCUUGACCGGAGCUUCUUGAUAGCCUCUUCACCGAUAUCUCUAAUCCAUCGGGAAGUUUACCCUGAAAGUAUAAUGGGAUGUCAACGCGAAGUUAACAAUACAAGGGAAGAUGGACCUAACAUAAAGAUCAAAUAAUAACGUCAUAAACAAGACGAGGGAAGUCAUUUCCCCCUUUUUUAUUCGGUAACCAAACACCAGAAAAUGACUUUCUCAUAGAAAAUGUGUUCUUCUGAAACAACUUCCGCCAUACCAAACACACCCCUCGUGACCUAAAAACUAACUUCACCUUAUAGACAACACCAAAUCCGCCUUCACCAAUUUUGUUUUCAGAUGAGAAGUUACUCGUGGCUUCUCGAAUAGUGUUCAAGUGAUAUUGCAAAGAUUCAACUGUCGAAAUUUCAUCUGCAUCUAUACAAACAAAGAAAGUCUAAAAAUAAGUACACAGCCGGAGUUAGAGCCCAUGAAGGGUGAUCAGUUGAACAUCCUUCAUUGAAACGUUAAACUUUAACUGUCGUACCUUUUGCAACAUUGAGUUCUCGCGAGGUUCUUCUUCUUAGCCACAAAAACCGAAUAUAAAUAGUAGAACUGAAACAACAAUUGGAACAACUAUGGCAACGAUUACACCAGAUGCAAUUCCCCCUUUUCCUGCAUUGAUUUUGACAAAAUGUCGUACAAACAUUAAACUUAUAUCACGAAAACUAUUUGUUUUAAAUAGAGUGUCAAACGAAAAACCAACAACGACAACAUGCCUAGUAUUCCCACAAAGUGGGGUCCCGAGAGGGUAAAGUAUACGCAGUCCAUACCACUACCUCAGAUGGAGUAGAGAGGUUGUUUCCAACAGACCUCCGGCUCAGGACAGAUAACAGUAUAACAAACAAAAAAACAUAAAAGCAAACAACAAAAUGGGACAACACAGCGCUAGAUAAUAAAGAACAUAAGACACCUACAAGGUAAUACUAUAAACAAUCUAUUCCAAAUCAUAGACAUGUUUACGAACAAGAGACUACAAGAAACUAUAGGCACAGAUACAGACAAAACACUCUUCCCUACCAUUACGAAUGUACUUCUACCCACUAACCCUCUACCCUAAUCCGCGUCCUCCAUACCUUGCUAUCAAGGGUUAUUGUCAAACACAAAACUAAACAAACAGAUAACUGGAAUUUAUGGUUGUCAUCAAACAUUUUUAUUUUGUUGCCAUAUGAAGAGCAACACUAGAUAUAUAGAAUGAACACAGUGAUCAGGGGUAAUUUCACAGACCUAACAUCACAGUAUAGUCGAAAGACGUGCAAAUGAGUUCAAUCAGUGACUUAUCAACCACCCGAUUAUAGAACUUACCUCUAUCGCGGCCUGUAGAGCCGGGCGAAAAAGGUGGAGGAUACUGGAUAUGCCAAUAAAUAUUUUCUACUCAUUUUGGUUUACAUAAAUGCAAGGAUAGUUGAUGCACUUUUCGUUUAUAAAAUUUGUUUUAUAAUAUUGCUGCAUUAAAGAAAUAGUUCAAUGAUCAUCUGUUAAAUUACCUCCAUCGCUGCUUGAAGAAUUGGAUAUCGAAGGAGGAGGAGGAGUACCGCGAACUGGUGGUGGAGGUGGUGGCGCGACAGCAGUAAUGUUAUAAAAAGAAUACGUCUCAUACCUAACAUUACAGCUGGGGAAGAUAACUCUACCGCCUUUCUUUCCAUCACUCGGUAGAUUCCCAAUAGCAAAUCUCAGGCAACUAUCACAAGAAGAUUCAGACAGAUCAGGAGUGCAUUGCGCAAGCGAAUAAACUCUUUCAAGCGAUGAAAAAUUGGCUUCUUUAGUAGCAAAUUUUCUCCCCGAACGAUCAUUUUCAUUUGCAGCCACACUUGCUAUUUCAUCCAUCGUGCUCCCGAGCAGUGACAAGAACCUUUUCGGAUCACUAACAUUCUGCGGAUUGAACAUCACGGUUCCACCUGAUUCAUCCACAGAGCCGAAAAUGGAUCCGAUUUGAGAAAGGUCAAAUAUUUAACAAACUCUGGCCAGCUGCGGAACCAGAAUUUUCACUAAAGGAAUUCAGAAUAUAUAAGAAGUAAAACGAAGAAACAAAGGGAACUCAACAUCUACUAUAAAUGCAUAGAAAGCGAUUACACUGUGUUGGAAUUGAAAUAACAAGGUGUCAUGCGGAAGCUAACAAAGCAAACCUUGAACGACAGACAAAUCAGAGAACAAAGAGACCUAUACUAAAAGAUCCACCUGAAGAAGUAAAACACAAUUAUGAUAAGCAAAAUGUUAUUGUACAAAAAAUGAUCCAUCCACCUGAUAGAUCCACUGUGGCAAAGAUGGAUCGAUUCGAGUAACGCAACAAGCAUUCAUCAUACCAGAUGACAGCAAUUUUUCCCUUUGGACAAUUUCCAGGAUUUCUUUACUAGCUGUUGACACGCAAUUUUGACAAACGUCAGGAGAAACAUCUCCCCUACAUAAAAACAGGCCAUAAGCUAUAUCGGACCCCGUGUGACCAGCUGUGGAGUUGUAAAAUCCAUUACGCGUAGAAGCGUUAGAGGACAAAGAUGAUACAAGAGCAUUGAGGUUAGAGCUGUAAGUGCUGUUGGGACUGUAAGAAGUUGUGUUUGGACAGAAAAGUGCAAGAGGAGUAGAGUUAACUUGGCCAUUUUGGCUGAAAAUCAAGAAAAUGUUGCCACAUAGUACUACAAGAAAUUUGAGAAUGUUGAAGUUCAUCAACAUGAUAUGUUAGAAUAAUUUAGGGAACAUCCUAAUAAAUAUAAUUUUUUUCAUAGAAUCAUAUGAAGAUAUAUGGUGUGUUUGGUUGAACGAAACAUUUCUCUAGUAAAACAAGUUCCUCAAAAAUGACUUUCCUAAUUGCAUUCCGCACUAACUGUCUCCUCCCUAUUUGUCUAGAUUAUAUGCAAAUGUUUUCGGAAUAAUAAUUUUUGUUCACUGAACACUAAAAUAUAAGUAAGAAAACUAUUUAUUUUUCACGAGAAUAUUUUCUAGAAAAUUAUUUUGUGUGGAACACAUCAUACGCAACACACCCAUAGUGCCAUAGUUGAUUGUGAAAAAAAGUUCAAGAAGACUUGGUUGUUACAAGUCAACACAUAGCUGUAUUUAUGAUGAUGACAGAAGUGAGAUGGUGACCACAACUUGGAACUUUCCCUCACUACUUUCCAACUAUUCUCACCAUGAAAAUUUUCCAAUGUUUUUUUUUUCUUGCUAAUUUUCCUAUAUUUUCUCACUAUGGACCACAUAGUUGUCACAAUAAACAAGGGGGGAACCAGACUUAAAAGUUGAAGCUUCGGCAGAACUCAGUUGCUUUGACUCGGACCAUGUAUUUGUAUUUAAAAUUCAUUUAAUGUCGAUAGAACUCGGUUGCUUUGGCUAAAACCGUUGCUUAGUGACUUUUAUGAGUUUUUCCACAUGAGCCAUAAAUAUCACUAUUUUUUUUGGAGCUCAUGUAUUUAGAAAAACUUUGGCGAAAUGUGUUUCGUUCUAUCUCCUUUUAUGAAUCCUCUUGUGUUAUGCAUGUUGUAUUAUCUUCAUAUAAAAUUGUGGGUACUCUGUCAUAUUUCAAACCACAUUUUUCUCAAAUGAGAUGUAUCAUGGACCUCAACCAUACAUAGUCUCGGCUUGCUUCAUGAAUAACUAUUAUCUCUGAGGUGGCUAUAAUAGACUGUUUUAUAGAUCUCCAAGAUACAGUAGUACCUCCACAUAUGAAUACAUAACCUGUUUGAGAUCGAGCUUUAUGCGGACCAGAUAAAUGCCCAGCAUCAACAUAACCAACAAGAUCGGGACUACAAUCUUUAGAAUAAAAUAAGUCCAUAUCGAUAAUCUCUUAGCAGGGGCGGCUCAGCCAAUGUGGUGGCCCAAAGCAAAACUUCAAUGAAAGGCCUUACGAUUUUAUAUGAAAAACAAAAAAAAAGGUCUUAUAUUGUAUAUAAUGUCUUGAAGUCUUUUUUUUUUCUCUUUCUUCAUAUACAAAGUUGUUAUAAUUCUCGGGCCAUCGAUAUCAUACGCCUGUUGAAAUAGUUUUCGCAAAAAAAUAAGUUAUUCAUAGAUUUUUCAAAAAUAAAUUAAUAUAUGUGUUGAGUAAAUAUUAUUAGAUCAUAUAAUGUUGUAGAAGGAACGCACCUUGUUUUCAAUAUUCCAAAUAUCUUUAAAGAGGUAUACCUAUAGAGAGAUUUAUAUUGACGAAUGACUAUAUAGGAUAAUUUAAAAUACUCUCUCUGACCUAAUUUAUGACACUUUUUGCUUUUCAAGAUUCAAACAUUGAUUGUAUGCUUAUAUAGAAUCAUUAUAAUUUUACAAUAAAAUUAUUUACUAUGAAAAAAAUGACUCGUUUGAUUCUCAAAAUUCAAACACAAUCACAAAAAUUGAGAUUAAAAAAUAUAAUAUUCUCCUAGUAGGAGUAGAACUUCAUAACCAAUUCAAUUCAAUAUAUUUCUCAUGUCAGCAAACAAUCUAUUGCUUUUAAAAACUCUCCAAAAGUUUUAAUAAUUUUCAAGUUAUAAACUUAUACAAUAUAAAGAUUAUAAAUAGGUUUCUUAGAAAAUUUUAUAUGCUUCAAACAUUUUGAAUCCUUAAAAAAGUUUUCAUAUAAAUUUUCCUAUGUUCUUUUUUUCUUUCUAAUUUUCCUAUAUUUUCUCACUAUGGACCACAUAGACGUCACAAUGAACAGGGGUAGAACCAGACUUGAAAAGUUAAAAGGUUCAGCAAAACUCAGUUGCUUUGGCUCAAACCGUUGCUUAGUGACUUUUAUGAGUUUUUCCACAUGAGCCAUCUAGAUAGAACGAAAAUACUAACAUAGUCAUCGAGUAAGAAUAAAAAUAGACCGAGAUAAAUGAGUAAAGAUCCCAUCGAAAGACAAGCAGAAGAUGCUAAGGAGUAUACGAGAUCUAACUGGCAGUAGGAGUCUGGUCUGCGUACACCCCACCCUCUCCUCACCGCACUUGUGGGAUUACACCGGGUAUGUUGUGGUAUGAAAUGCGCAUUUAGCACAGAUACAUUUCAAACUGAAUAACUUAAAAAAAAAAUUCAUCAUGAACUAAGCGUUACUCCAAUCGUAUGAGAAAUUAAGAAUAUAAUUUACCCUCUUAGCUAGUCACAUUCCAUCACCUUAUUCCUCUAUAUAUAUUACAUAUAGAAUUUAAGACAACAUAGAAGCUUCAUCGCUGUAUAGCUCUAUCUGGGCUCCAUUUCUGUAAUGGAUACUUCAUUCACGGACAAUGGCAUCGACUUGCUUGUAGAUUGAUCUGACUCUAACCCUUUAAUCGGUAGCAUCUCUGACCGACUACGAAAAAAGAAUGCAGGUUGCUGAGGCGCUCGCUUGGUAAUAGAGUAACUAUUAAGCAUGAGCACCACGGAUUCCAUUGUAGGUCUUUCAUUAACGUCUUCUUGAACACAUAACAAUCCGAUAUGUAUACAUUGCAUCACUUCAUUUCUCGAGUAUGAUUCCGCAAAUGUUGGAUCUAUUAUGUUCAAUGGUGUUCCGUCCCUCCAAUUCUUCCAUACCUACAAGAUUUAUCCAUCAAAUCGGCCAAAAUUAGGAUCAGUAAGAAUUUAUCUAGUAAGUCGUGGAAUUUGUCACGGUUCUGAUACCAGGUUGAAGUUUUCAG